GCUGGGUAUGGUGGCGUGUGCCUGUAGUUCCAGCUACUCAGGAGGCUGAGAUGGGAGGAUGGCUUGAGCCCAGGAGCCAGAGGUUGCAGUGAGCCGAGAUCAUGCCACUGCACUCCAGCCUGGGCAAUAGAGCCAGACCCUGUCUCAA
rnacentral:SRP_RNA from 1 species